GAUGAACGCUGGCGGCGUGCCUAAUACAUGCAAGUCGAGCGAACAGAUAAGGAGCUUGCUCCUUUGACGUUAGCGGCGGACGGGUGAGUAACACGUGGGUAACCUACCUAUAAGACUGGGAUAACUUCGGGAAACCGGAGCUAAUACCGGAUAACAUUUGGAACCGCAUGGUUCUAAAGUGAAAGAUGGUUUUGCUAUCACUUAUAGAUGGACCCGCGCCGUAUUAGCUAGUUGGUAAGGUAACGGCUUACCAAGGCAACGAUACGUAGCCGACCUGAGAGGGUGAUCGGCCACACUGGAACUGAGACACGGUCCAGACUCCUACGGGAGGCAGCAGUAGGGAAUCUUCCGCAAUGGGCGAAAGCCUGACGGAGCAACGCCGCGUGAGUGAUGAAGGGUUUCGGCUCGUAAAACUCUGUUAUUAGGGAAGAACAAACGUGUAAGUAACUGUGCACGUCUUGACGGUACCUAAUCAGAAAGCCACGGCUAACUACGUGC
rnacentral:rRNA from 1 species